rnacentral:rRNA from 1 species
CCAAUAGCGUAUAUUAAAGUUGUUGCAGUUAAAAAGCUCGUAGUUGAAUUUCGGGGUCUAUCUGUUGGUCGGGCUUUUGGGUCCGUACGGGCGUUAUGGAUUCCUACCUUCUGAAUAACCGGUAUGCCAUUAAUUUGGUGUCCUGGGGAAGCAGGACUGUUACCUUGAAAAAAUUAGAGUGCUUAAAGCAGGCUAUCGCCUGAAUACAUUAGCAUGGAAUAAUGAAAUAGGACGGCAUGGUUCUAUCUUGUUGGUUUCUAGGAUCACCGUAAUGAUUAAUAGGGAUAGUUGGGGGCAUUAGUAUUCAAUUGUCAGAGGUGAAAUUCUUGGAUUUAUUGAAGACUAACUUCUGCGAAAGCAUUUGCCAAGGAUGUUUUCAUUAAUCAAGAACGAAAGUUAGGGGAUCGAAGACGAUCAGAUACCGUCGUAGUCUUAACCAUAAACUAUGCCGACUAGGGAUCGGACGAUGUUAAUUUUUUAAUGACUCGUUCGGCGCCUUACG